rnacentral:rRNA from 1 species
UGUGGUUUAAUUCGAUGCAACGCGAAGAACCUUACCAGGUCUUGACAUCCCACGAAUUCAUCUGAAAGGAUGGAGUGCCUUCGGGAGCGUGGAGACAGGUGGUGCAUGGUUGUCGUCAGCUCGUGUCGUGAGAUGUUGGGUUAAGUCCCGCAACGAGCGCAACCCUUGCUAUUAGUUGCUAACAGGUAGAGCUGAGCACUCUAAUGGGACUGCCGGUGACAAGCCGGAGGAAGGUGGGGAUGACGUCAAAUCAUCAUGCCCUUUAUGACCUGGGCUACACACGUGCUACAAUGGAUGGUACAGAGAGCAGCGAGGCAGCGAUGUGGAGCGAAUCUCAAAAAGCCAUUCUCAGUUCGGAUUGGAGUCUGCAACUCGACUCCAUGAAGUCGGAAUCGCUAGUAAUCGCGAAUCAGCAUGUCGCGGUGAAUGCGUUCCCGGGCCUU